rnacentral:rRNA from 1 species
AUACGUAGGGAGCGAGCGUUGUCCGGAAUUACUGGGCGUAAAGGGCGCGUAGGCGGCGCUUCAAGUCGUCUGUCAAAUGAGAGGGCUUAACCCUUUUUCGCAGACGAAACUGGAGAGCUUGAGAAGCAGAGAGGCAAACAGAAUUCCUGGCGUAGCGGUUAAAUGCGUAGAUAUAACGAAGAAUUCCAAUUGCGCAGGCGGCUUACUAAACCUCUACUGACGCUCAUGCACGAAGGCGUGGGGAUCAAACAGGAUUAGAUACCCUGGUAGUCCACGCAGUAAACGAUGAUUACUAGUUGUUUGCGAUACAAUGUAAGCGACUGAGCGAAAGCGUUAAGUAAUCCACCUGGGGAGUACGGUCGCAAGAAUGAAACUUAAAGGAAUUGGCGGGG